AAUUCAACAUUGAUCCCUUUAACUUUACUGAGAAUUUCUAUAUCGUAUAGAACAUUUUAUGCUAAAACUAGUAACAAGAGAAAACCCUCUCCCAAUGCAAACACAAGCCAGCAAGAACCCAUCACUGGCAAUUAACAGACCUAGACAAGAGUAGUAACACAACUAGAAAACCCUGCUUCUCAUGACUGUUAACCUAACACCAGAGCAUUUCAAGAAAGAUUAAAAGAAAAAGAAGGAACUCGGCAAACACUAGCCCCGCCUGUUUACCAAAAACAUCGCCUCUUGCUUCUAUAAGAGGUCAAGCCUGCCCAGUGACUUUGUUCAACGGCCGCGGUAUCCUAACCGUGCGAAGGUAGCGUAAUCACUUGUUUUCUAAAUAAAGACCAGUAUGAAAGGCAUCACGAGGACUAAACUGUCUCCUUUUUCUAAUCAGUGAACCUAAUCUCCCCGUGAAGAAGCGGGGAUCAUCAUAUAAGACGAGAAGACCCUAUGGAGCUUAAAACAUUAUAACAUCUACCACCAAACUCCAACCACUCAGGUGUUUUACCCAAGUGGCACUUUGAUUUUAUGUUUUCGGUUGGGGUGACCGCGGAGAAAAAUUAAUCCUCCGCAAUGAAAGGGGACUCCCCCUAAACAAUAAGCUACAUCUUUAUGUAUCAACAAAUUGACACCCAUUGACCCAAUGACUUGAUUAACGAACCAAGUUACCCUAGGGAUAACAGCGCAAUCCACUUUAAGAGCCCCUAUCGACAAGUGGGCUUACGACCUCGAUGUUGGAUCGGGGUACCCCAGUGGUGUAGUCGCUACUAAAGGUUCGUUUGUUCAACGAUUAAAACCCU
rnacentral:rRNA from 1 species